UACAGGAGGGUGCGAGCGUUGUCCGGAAUCACUGGGCGUAAAGGGCGCGUAGGCGGCCCGGUAAGGUUGCGGUGAAAGCCCGGGGCUCAACCCCGGGUCCGGCCGUGGCAACUGCUGGGCUGGAGCACAGUAGAGGCGGGUGGGAAUUCCGGGUGUAGCGGUGGAAUGCGUAGAGAUCCGGAAGAACACCGGUGGCGAAGG
rnacentral:rRNA from 1 species